UUCACCCCAAAUCUCAAAAUAUCAUAAAAAUCCAAUCUUUACUCAAAAUUCAGUCCAACUUUUCAUCAUAUCCCCAAGAAAACUAGCAUACUUAGUUAAAAAUCAUAUUUUGCCAAAACUCAAGUAAAGCCAUCACAAAAAAUUUCAAACCCCAACAAAUAUCUUCACCCCAAAUCUCAUAACAUCAUAAAAAUCCAAUCUUUACUUAAAACUCACUCCAAUUUCUCAUCAUAUUCCCAAGAAAACCAUCAAACUUGUUGAAAAAUCAUAUUUUUCCAAAACCCCAAGUAAAGAAAACCACCACUAAUACUCAAGAAAUCAAAGAUCAAUCUCACCCAUAACAAUAAUUCCACAAGAAAAUGUCAGAAGAGAACCAAUAAGAGAUUUACUACUGAAAUUUAGUACCAAGAUUGUGUUUAACCAAGACAGUAUAGAUCAGAUAAGACAAAAUCCAAGAACAACAAUAGGGAACAUCCCACAUGGAGUAUUAAAAUCUGCUGAGAUGCAAAAAAGGGAAAAAGAUAGUAAGUAGUAAAA
rnacentral:lncRNA from 1 species